UACGGAGGGUGCAAGCGUUAUCCGGAUUCACUGGGUUUAAAGGGUGCGUAGGCGGGUCUUUAAGUCAGGGGUGAAAUCCUGGAGCUCAACUCCAGAACUGCCUUUGAUACUGAAGAUCUUGAGUUCGGGAGAGGUGAGUGGAACUGCGAGUGUAGAGGUGAAAUUCGUAGAUAUUGGGAAGAACACCAGUGGCGAAGGCGGCUCACUGGCUCGUAUCUGACGCUCAGGCGCGAUAGCGUGGGGAUCAAACAGG
rnacentral:rRNA from 1 species